GUGGGAGGGGCCCCAGUGGCAGGCUACCUCCAUUUGCACCACUCCCCAUGGCAAUCUGAGUCUCGGGUUCUGCUACAGUUAUUAAGGUACCUGCCUGGCCUUGAAAGUGAUUGAUUUGGUGAUCCCUGUUGUGGGCCUAGUCCAAGGGUCCCAUGCACAUGGUAUAAAGAGCCUGGGAGUGUACCCCUGCCCCACACCCCCUGUGGUCCCCACACUUCCACUUGAGUUCACAUUUAGAAAUUGUGAUCAUUCCCAUAACACACUAAACAGCCUUUCCAUAAUGCUUACAAGCUAGAGCUUGCAAUUAAAGCACUAAAUCACAACUUCAGGGUCAAGUGCUGUUGAAUCACAUGCUUAUGUUUAAAAUAUACUCCUAAAGAGAAAGUUACAACAUUUAAACAAGAGGGAGACAAAAAACAGACAACUUUUAAUCUAGCCCAAGUUAAAUUAUAAGUCUCAAUUCUCCCCCAAAUAAUCUACUCUCCUAUAGAUAUUGCUAAAAGCUAAGAGGGAAUGGGGAGCUGCCACUACAUGCCACUGUCCUCAUUCUAAUACACUUUUUAAGAUAUAUAACAAUGGAAAGAAUGUUCUUUUUUAAUCAUCAAGACCGUUUACAACAUUGAGAUAUCAAUAUUUUGCUCUAUUUCUUUCUAAACUUACUCAUGCACAGGUUUUUGUUUUAUACCUUUUUAAAAAAUUCUUUAAAUGUAAUUGUAGCAUUUGCAUGAAUGUAACUGUAGCAAUGAAGCAUAGGAAAUAAUUCAGAGAGAUCCUAUGCACGCUUUAUCCAUUUUCUCCCAGCGGUAACACUUUACACAAUAUUUACUGGCAUCCCAACCAGGAAAAUAGUGUUGGUGCAAGCCACAAAGCUUAUUCAAUUUUUGUGUUAUUAAUAUUCAUUUUAGCCAUUCUAAUAGAAAUGUAGUAAUAUCUUCUAGGAGUUUUGAUUUGCAUUUCCAUAAUGGCUACAAUGAUGUACCUAUUUUCAUGUGCUUAUUUGCCAUGGGUAUAUCCUCUUCAGUGAAAUGUCUGUUGAUGUUUUUUUUUUGACCACUUUCUAAUUGGAUUGUUUGUUUGUCACUGUUGAGUUUUGAGAGGUCUUUAUAUAUUCUAGAUUCAAGUCCUUUGUUGGAGGUGUCAUUUGAAAAUAUAUUCUCCCUGUCUGUAGCUUAUCUUUUCAUCCUCUUCACAGGGUCUUUCAUAGAAUAAAAAAUUUUAUUUUUCAUGAAAUGCAGCUUACCAAUUUUUCCUUUUAUGAAAUGUGCUUUUG
rnacentral:lncRNA from 1 species